rnacentral:misc_RNA from 1 species
UAAAUAACCUACCUGACAUUACCGUAAGGAUUAUUCCGUUCGGCACGGCUUUUAACCCGCUCUAAACCGGAAGUAAAAAACUUGACCUUCACGGUCAAAUGUACUUCCGUUAGAAGCACCAUGCUUCAGUUUUCUCUUUCGGCGCAAACAAGUCGGACGUUUUUCUACUCGCUCUUAGUGUUAACUUUAUUUUUUAAAGUUUGUUGUUUGAGGAUAGUGAAUGUUUCGUGUCUGGGAAUGACCGAGUUAGAGGUCAAACGUUCUCGGAUGGAUAUUGCCUCCGAAGAUGAACACAUUUCGGACGUUUCUCAUUCGGAAACAAAUUCCGGUACACCUUCCACUGGUAAUAAAGGUAAGCGUCGUUCUCGCUAUGAUAUUUUAGAAGCGGAAUGGAAUGAAAAAUUUGGCAAUAUGGAUGGUCGUUUGAAUAGUUUAGACAGUAAUAUUGCCAAUGUCAAUAAGACUGUGGAAGGUCUAGCAGAUUUGAUUAAAAGUUUGAAAUCUGACCAAUCACACAGACGGUCAGUGUCUCCAGAUUCUUCCCCGUCACACAGACAGAAUGACCGAUCACACAGACGGUCAUUGUCUCCAGUUUCUUCCCCGUCACACAGACAGGAUGAUUUCUCGUCACACAGACAGAAAAAACAGUCUCUGUCACACAGACAGAAAAAGAAAGUUUCGUCACACAGACGGAAACAUUUUUCAGAUCAUUCUGAAGACAGUGAUUCUUAUGCUUCAUCAAAUAACUCAUGUGAAAAUGAUGAUGCGCUGUCAGUACGGUCUAAAAAUGACAAUAUGUUCACAGAAGAAAUUUCUGAUGACAAUCAACAGUUAUCACAAACAAAUAAAAAGUGCUUGUUUGAUUUGUUUGGCGAAGAUGCUACAAUCAAGAAAAAUGUCAAACAAGAGGGCAUUUCACUCGAUGCUUCUCAAAAGGAAGUGAUAGAAAACAGUUUUAGGUCAAAGACACCUAGAUAUUUAUCUUCAUUUGCAGAAGAAAACUUUGAACUUUUUCCAGUUGAUGAAGAAACAAAUGAAUUUCUUCAGGUGCCACCACUAGACACCCUUAUUGAAAGUUGUUUAGUUAAACGGCAUGGAUCUAAGGCCUCAUUCAGUAAAUCUCGUUCGAGGUCUUUAGUUACUCAGCCUUGUAAAAAAGUGGAACAAAUAGCAUAUAAAGGUCAACAAGCUGCUAGGCUAGGCAUCGUGAUGACUACAUAUAUUCAACAGAGUCUUGCGACAUUACUUCAACAGUUUCAAGAUGAUUCCUUUGACAAAGAAAAGGCUAUGAAGCAAGUCAAGGAUAUAUUCGCAAUGACAACUAAAUCCCUAGAUCAAAUGGGAAGGUCUGGUGCUUUUCACCAUGUUAUUCGUCGCACUGUAGCCAUGACCGAUUCUGCACUUUUUGAAUUAGACGAUGCUAAUGAGCUGGCCAAUCUCCCUCUGUCAGGAAAAGGUGUUUUUGGUCCAGACUUUGAAACCUUUCUGAAAAGUAGGAAAGAGAAAAAGAAACAAAUAGAAGACAUUGUUCCAGAUAUAAAAAGGAGAGAUCUUAAACGAAAACAAGGUGCUAUACCAGCUCAGGAUCAUACUUUUAAAAGACCUAGAUUGGAACAACGUCAAAAUACUGCAGCAACAUCUAGCACUGCAGACCGUACUUUUAACAAUUUUCGGAUCCCCAAGGUAUCCAGAGAUCAAGACAAGUUCAGUCACAAACAGAAAAGAUCUAGCUUUCCCCACUUUAAGAGAUCUUCCCAGAGUACCGCCACUAAAGGAAGACUGGGAAAAGCAGAUGAACAAUGACAAGGUUGUUUGAGACGGGCUCCAUUCGAACCUAUGAAGGAUGCUGCUUUGAAAUUUGUUACUUGGAAAACCUGUUUUUUGAUCGCUGUCACCACUUUCCAGAGAUGCAGUGACCUACAAUCUUUACAGCUUGGAGAACAAAAUGUAAAUAUACAGAAGAAAGGUGUCACAUUUCUUAGAACUGGUUUAUCCAAGACUGAUAGACCUAGUCAUAUAAAAAGGUCAAUUUUCAUACCUGCAUUCACAAGAGAUAAAUUUGUGGAUCCCAAAAGAGCUCUGACAUAUUACUUAAUGAAAACUGAAAAGUUUCGUAGUGAAUCAGACGUUUCUUUGAAAUUAUUCUUGGCAAUCAACAAACCUCAUAAGCCAGUUUCAUCCCAGACAAUAUCUAGAUGGAUAACUAGUACUAUUAGAUACUGUUAUAAAAAGUCCAAUAAGUCAGUGGGUUGUGUAACUGGACAUUCUACACGGAGUAUAGGACCUUCGUGGGCAAUUUUUAAAGGAGCAUCUUUUCAGCAAAUUAUGGAGUCAGCGGAUUGGUCAAAAGAGACCACAUUUGUGAAACAUUAUUUAAAACAAGUUAAUGUUAAUUAUUUGGAAGUUUAAAUAAACUUUUUCUGUGUUAUCUCUUCCGGCGGGUUGCCUGGAUUUUGAACAGUGUUUUAUUAAAACCAGUUAACUUAGGAUUACAGACAUGUAUAUAGGGGAUAUUACAGUAACUGUUGUAUAGUAGAUGUAAAUAGUGGGAAGAGCAUGGUGUUUUAUUCUUCGAUGUCCAUAUAAACUGUAGAGUACAGAUGAAGAUUAAUUCAGGCGACUUGUUUACGCCUACAAGGAAACUGAAGCAUGGUGCUUCUAACGGAAGUACAUUUGACCGUGAAGGUCAAGUUUUUUACUUCCGGUUUAGAGCGGGUUAAAAGCCGUGCCGAACGGAAUAAUCCUUACGGUAAUGUCAGGUAGGUAUUAUUUACUCAUAAAAUUCUAAU